rnacentral:rRNA from 1 species
UACGUAGGGGGCAAGCGUUGUCCGGAAUUAUUGGGCGUAAAGCGCGUGUAGGCGGCCAGAUAAGUCCGCUGUGAAAUCUCGAGGCUCAACUUCGAGCUGUCGGUGGAGACUGUCUGGCUAGAGUCCGGAAGAGGAGAAUGGAAUUCCUGGUGUAGCGGUGAAAUGCGCAGAUAUCAGGAAGAACACCCGUGGCGAAGGCGGUCUCUGGGACGGUACUGACGCUGAGACGCGAAAGCGUGGGGAGCGAACAGG